CGAUCAUGAACCCCCAGUGCGCCCGUUGCGGAAAAGUCGUGUAUCCCACCGAGAAAGUCAACUGCCUGGAUAAGUAUUGGCAUAAAGGAUGUUUCCAUUGUGAGGUCUGCAAGAUGGCACUCAACAUGAACAACUACAAAGGCUAUGAAAAGAAGCCCUAUUGUAAUGCGUAAGUAUUGUCAACACGCUGUCCAGGUGUGGCACAGCCUCAGAGCUUGAGAGCCAGUGGACCUGCCUGUUUUGAAGAACUGACUCACUGUGUCACCCAGGUGUGGCAGGGGCCAGUUACCUGUUUAUAUCACAGACUCUGGGGCCAUGUACUUUGUUGACGAUCACUGCUUUUUAUACCUUUCUAAUGUGUUGGGUAACGUCUAUGCAUCUUCAAUCAGGUUAGUUUUUGAGGUUCGCAGUGUUACAGCCUUAGGGACACUUAUUAGAAGCUGCUGAACUUCCCCACUGAGAACGUGUGGGCUCUGAAGUGCAUGUCAGGUAGAUUUCCAUUUUAAUCCUGUGUCAAUUUCCAUUUUAAUCAUAGGAUGUUGCCAUACUGCAAUUUCAUACCUGAACCUAGUUGCUAUGGAAAGGAGUCUUGCUCAUUUGGUCUUAGCUGAGACCACUGCAGAGAUUCUGGGCUUAAACAGGAAAUCAAAGAAUGGUUUGGAGAAUGGAACCAAAGACAUGGGUAUUCCUGGCUGGUUAGUAGUAGGUCGUUUGUAGUAGACCGACUGAAGUAGACCGGGUACUUCCGACUGGUUAGUGCUGUAGUAGGUGGGGAUUAAAAAAGGUAAGCCUUCUUUGGAAGGCUUUUGUGUAGGCAUGCUGCUAGCCUAGAAUAGCAAUUAGCUAGCAUUUAUAUCGCGCUCACCGUGUGUCAAGCUCUGUUCUAAGCACUUUAUGCAUACUGAUCAUUUAAUCUUUACAACGACCCUACGAGUUAGGGGACACUAUUAUUACCCCCAUGUGGCGGGUAAUGAAAUUGCGGCCUUGAGAGGAUCAGGCUCAGGA
rnacentral:lncRNA from 10 species